rnacentral:rRNA from 1 species
AACGCGUGGGAAGUACUGCCUAGUAGUUGGGGUACGAACCUACGGUGAAACCAAGGCUAAUACCGAAUGUGGUCUACGGACUAAAGCAGGGGAUCUUCGGACCUUGCGCUACUAGAUGAGCCCGCGUUAGAUUAGCUAGAUGGUGAGGUAAAGGCUCACCAUGGCGACGAUCUAUAGCUGGUCUGAGAGGACGAUCAGCCACACUGGGACUGAGACACGGCCCAG